CUCCGACUGAGCUGUGUCCAUACAGCCAGCGCAGCCCUUAGCCCUUCUCUUUUCCAGGCCCCUGACCUCAUCCACAGGGUUGGAUCAGAACCAGUACUCUGCACCCCCCAGCCCCACUCUGCAGCUGGUACCAGUUAAUUGUCUUCUCAGAGUAGCCCAGGCCUGCAUUCAGGCCCCAGAGCCUGGUGGCUCUGCUGCUUUCCACCUCUCGGUUGGUGUUGAUGCUCCUGGUUUCCUGGGAGAGGCCCUACCUUCAUUCCUCUGCCAAUUUGAGUCCUCCUCCCACCCCUCCUGUCUAGCCAGACCUCUCUGUGGUACCCGCAGCUAUUACCCCAGAGCCUGGUAGGCUCUGCUCACUCAAAUCUGAAGCCAUCUUGACCCAGUUUUCAAUAAGCCCUGCCUCCCGGCUCCGCCUCCCCCAGCCUCCCCUUCACCCUGGGAAAUGGAGCAGGCCUCUGCAGAACAUCCUGUCCCUUCCUACUACUGCAGGAAGAAGAAGCCACAUUCACUCUUAGUUCUGCAAAUGGGCUCCCGGGGCCCUGUGCCCUUGGCCUCCCCAGUCCUGAGCUCUCCCAGCCCCUUCCUCUGUGCCCAGGGACGCUUCCUGGAGGCACUGCUCACCCCAGAGCCAUCGCAUGCUUAUCCUGCCUAGAGCGGCAAGCCCCCAUUGCCAGAAGAAUUUGAGGAAGGACUGUAGAUGGGAUUUGGGAACUAGAGCUAAGUGAUUCUCGGGUGACCUCCAACCCCUAAAGAAUUGGAGAUGUGCCCAUCCGGUUAAGGAGGUUGAGGGUGGGCUCAGAUUCUGGCCCUAUCCUCGAGACUACAAAGGUGGUUGGGUUUGCCUGCGGCCUAGAGCCUGGGGAUGGACCAACAGCUUCAUUCAUCUAGGAAUUUCGGGGCUGAGCUGCCUCAGAUCCUGUCCUCCUUCAACGAGGGUUAAAGUUGGAGACAGGAGAAAUUGGUU
rnacentral:lncRNA from 1 species